rnacentral:snRNA from 1 species
AUGCUCCCUUCUGCAGCACAUAUACUAAAAUUGGAAUGAUAGAGAGAAGAUUAGCAUGGCCCCUGCGCAAAGAUGACACGCAAAUUCGUGAAGUGUUCCAUAUUUUU